rnacentral:rRNA from 1 species
UAANAAUUGAAAAUGUGAACACANGUUACAAUNCACGAGAUCGAAAAGUAUGUNUUAUCUCGCUGAUAUCUCUAUGAAAGAUCUCUAUCAUGAAAAUAGUGANCAUAGCUAAUACUAGUCUACGANCUACAUCUUGGUACUGCUUCGCUAUCCUCUACGAUCUAUGCUACUCUCANUCCNACGUCCANCUGCGCUCUCUAACCCCUANCUUGUUCUUUGUAUUCUUUUNAGUCCNUUUUUGGUUUUUUUUUAUGUUCCCUCUCCCCCCNCCCUCCCCCCCCCCGCCCCCCCCCCCGGUCCCUCCCCCCCCCCCCACCCUCCCCCCCAUCCACCACUAUCAGGUUCCCUCUCUCCAUCCCCCCCUCCCACCCAUCACNACCCUNCCCCCCCCCACCCUCCCGCCACCCCCUCCUCUCCACCCUCGCUACCUGCGCCCGCCCCCGGGAAANUAUUUACCUAAAAGAAUAGGGGUAGAGUUUUUGAUAUCCCUAAAACACUGUGUGUUAGUGUUGGUUUUUUAUAUAGUAUUUUAUACAAACCUUGGGGCCCCGG